rnacentral:rRNA from 1 species
UACGUAGGGGGCAAGUGUUGUCCGGAUUUACUGGGCGUAAAGAGCGUGUAGGCGGCCAAGCAGGUCCGUUGUGAAAACUGGAGGCUUAACCUCCAGACGUCGACGGAAACCGCGUGGCUAGAGUCCGGAAGAGGAGAGUGGAAUUCCUGGUGUAGCGGUGAAAUGCGCAGAUAUCAGGAGGAACACCAGCAGCGAAGGCGGCGCUCUGGGCUGGAACUGACGCUGAGGAGCGAAAGCGUGGGUAGCAAACAGG